UUCUUAAGAGAAACUAACGACGAAUGAAUAGCAUUACGUAAUUAAUUCGAGACGUACAUGUUAUUACGGCUGAACCGAAAAAUGCAAAGAAAACUCGUUCAAAUGUGGAUUCGUCACGUAAUCUUUUUUUUUACGUUCAAUUGCAUCCAUCUUCUAAAGGAACCGUUUAUUAAUUAUGGUCAAGGUCGGAGAGGCAAGAUGUUAUUAAUAAAUAUAUAAUAUCAGAGAAAAUAUGAGAAACGAAUGAACCAAUAAAUGUAUUAUGUAUAUAUAUAUUCAUAUAUAUAUAUAUAUAUAUUGUAUAUAGUAUAUAUAUAUGCUCUAUUGUGAAAGAUUAAUGAGAGACAGCUAUAAGGUAUUGUAUAAAUAUAAUAAGAAUAACUCGAACGUUUCAAGAAUAUAUAUAUUAUUAUACAUUCGACAUAAUAUCCAUUAAAGUAAACAAUUCUUUAGCAAGCAAAACUAAUCGUGAUAUCUAGUUACGAUGAGCCACGUAAUGGAAUAAUUUGUAUUUGUGUCGCAGCAGCAAGCGUACGAUCGAAAUUUAAGAAAAUCAUACGAGACGCACGGAAUCGACCUCGAAGCGAGUCGGCGCGGCGUUCGGCGGUGGUUCAGAAGCGUAGGCUCAAAGCAUCGGCCUCGCGCGCGAGCGUGCCGCUUCCACGUGACGUACACGACGGCAGUGGCGGUGGCGGUGGCGGUGGCGGCAGCAGGCGCACCGACGCGACGCUAAGCGCUACCUUCACCUCCCUCUCGCGCCAGAGUUCACAAUCAAGUAUGAACAAUUUGGAGGAAGGCGCAACGAACGUAUACAAGAAAAAGAGAAAGAAAGGGAAAAAAGAGACAAGAUGGAAAGAGGGGGGGUGGAGAGAGAGAGAGAGAGAGGAAAACUCCGAAGUAUAUUUUCGCGCCUGAAUGAAAUAAGGGGAGGAUUUACGUUAUUUUCCAAAGCUUCAGUAGACGAAAGACGAAAGUAGUGUAUUGCGAUCAAUUAACUGUUCUAAAAAUAACAUUCAACUCCGAUAGAGAUAAGGAAAGAGAUUUUUAAGACUAAAAAAAAAAAAAUUAUCACACCGAUGUUUUCUCGAAAGUUCAUAUAACGAUGUCGCCGUCUUCUUCUUCAGCGUUGUUCGUCGACGUCGUCUAGUUGCUGGCACGGUUACUUCGCGAAAGAGAGACAGGGAGACAAGAGAAACACACGGGGGUAUUAUAAUGCACGGCUUUGCCGCUAGUCGCGCGCGCGUGGGGUUUUCAUUGGCGAGGGAAAAAGGACGCGGCGAAUGUUAGAUAUUACGAAGAGAUGUGUACAAGCAAGCUAGAGCGCGACGCGGUGCGUAGUCUAUUCUCUCUAUCUCUCUCAUUCGUUCGCUCUUUGCGUGACUUGAGAGUAUGUGUGUGUGUAGGUUUGAGAGAGAAAAGAAAGAAUGAAAGAGAAACGAAGAGAGGUACAGAGAAAUCCCUUGGCGCGAUAUUUAUACAAUUAAAACUGUUAACAAUUUCAAAGGAACGUGUCGGUCAAAGGGAUAUAUAAGCGUUGCCCUAUCGAUCGGUCCUAUUCGCCGGACACGAUUAACCCGCUUACGACGAAUUAUCGAUCAAUUACGACAGCGAGAGGGAGGGAGAAAGAACGUGAGAAUGACGAGCAGUAGGCGGAGGGAGAAUGAUAGAAAGAGAGAACAGCCAAGCUACGUUAAGGUAGGAGGGGAGUGGCACGGAAGAAGAAAAAAGACAAAUGGAUAGAGAACGAAAGCGAGAAAGACAGAGAAACGAACGCGGGCUUGGUUUCGGGCGCCAUAAUGGGAGACUUCGAGAAGGUGGCGUCGUCGUCGUCGUCAUCGUCGUCGUCAGAUGGGAAGAAAAAAAAAUGUGUACACUUUUAUAUUAUAUCUUAAGCAAUGGGAAUAUUAGAGGAAAUUGCGUAGUCAAUAAAGGAAAAGUUACACAUAGAAAGGAAUGAGACAUUCGAGAUAAGGAAAAAACCGCGUUCUAUUUCGAAGCGUCGAUGAUGGGCAACGUAGAUCCGUCAACGAAUGUGGCUAGAUAAAGAGGAAGGAAAGAAGGGGAAGAGGGGGAAGCACAUGGCACUAUAAGUACCGUCGUCGAAACGUAGAAUAACAUGUCUUAAAAAUUAUGAUUAAAAUAGUGGGACGAUGAAAGAAAAAAAGAAUAAAAUAUAAAAAAUAUGUACUUUUAUCGAGUAUUACGAGAAUGGAAGAAGGGAUAGAUAAAUAUAUAUAUACAUACAUACAUACAUACAUAUAUAUAUAUAUAUAGAGAGAGAGAGAGAGAGAGAGAAAACAGAAGUAAUCAGCUCGGUGGCGUACUCGUGGCGGCCACGCGACAUUACAAUGGCGUCCCUUAUCUCGAUUCAUGUUUUUAGCAUUAAUUUUCUAAAAGGGAAAACAUGGAGGCAAGUUUUUCUGUUAAUUAGAAUUGUCGACGAUGAUGAAAAGUUCAAUCGCGUAUUAUGAAAUCGUAAUGAAAAAAUGAACUUUAUCAUAGAAAGUAGAUAGGGAUAAAAAUGCCGGCCGGCAUUGUGCAUCUUCAGUUGCGCGCCACUACCGCCACCGUCGUAGCGGCUACCGCCACCACCGCUUAUAUCGCCGCCGCCGCCAGAGGCUACCGAUAUUGUCGACAUAUAGUCAUCGUCAUCAUUCACCAUCAUCGUGUCUGUCUUCUCGUCAUUUCGUUUCGCGUACACAUGCUUUUUAACUGGUGCGCGGGCGCGCUCGCUCGCGCACACAGUCAUAAUAUAUACAUACACGCAACAUACGUAUGUACAUAUAUGUAAUAAUA